UUUGUAAUAGUUUAAAUCAAAACAUUUCAUUUUCACUGAAAAAAUAUUUAUCAUAAAUUUAUAAAA
rnacentral:tRNA from 1 species